rnacentral:rRNA from 1 species
UACGUAGGUCCCGAGCGUUGUCCGGAUUUAUUGGGCGUAAAGCGAGCGCAGGUGGUUUAUUAAGUCUGGUGUAAAAGGCAGUGGCUCAACCAUUGUAUGCAUUGGAAACUGGUAGACUUGAGUGCAGGAGAGGAGAGUGGAAUUCCAUGUGUAGCGGUGAAAUGCGUAGAUUUAUGGAGGAACACCGGUGGCGAAAGCGGCUCUCUGGCCUGUAACUGACACUGAGGCACGAAAGCGUGGGGAGCAAACAGG